rnacentral:rRNA from 1 species
UACGGAGGGGGCUAGCGUUGUUCGGAAUUACUGGGCGUAAAGCGCGCGUAGGCGGCUAUUUAAGUCAGGGGUGAAAGCCCGGAGCUCAACUCCGGAACUGCCUUUGAGACUGGAUAGCUAGAAUCUUGGAGAGGCGAGUGGAAUUCCGAGUGUAGAGGUGAAAUUCGUAGAUAUUCGGAAGAACACCAGUGGCGAAGGCGACUCGCUGGACAGGUAUUGACGCUGAGGUGCGAAAGCGUGGGGAGCAAACAGG